rnacentral:rRNA from 1 species
CCCUGCCAUUUGUACACACCGCCCGUCGCUCCUACCGAUUGAAUGAUCCGGUGAAGUGUUCGGAUUGCGUCGACGAUGGCGGUUCGUCGCCGUCGACGUCGUGAGAAGUUCAUUGAACCUUAUCAUUUAGAGGAAGGAGAAGUCGUAACAAGG